rnacentral:rRNA from 1 species
UACGUAGGGUCCGAGCGUUGUCCGGAAUUACUGGGCGUAAAGAGCUCGUAGGUGGUUUGUCGCGUUGUUCGUGAAAACUCACAGCUUAACUGUGGGCGUGCGGGCGAUACGGGCAGACUAGAGUACUGCAGGGGAGACUGGAAUUCCUGGUGUAGCGGUGGAAUGCGCAGAUAUCAGGAGGAACACCGGUGGCGAAGGCGGGUCUCUGGGCAGUAACUGACGCUGAGGAGCGAAAGCGUGGGGAGCAAACAGGA